rnacentral:rRNA from 1 species
CGGGGCUAAGGCCGGGUGCUUGUUUGAACCGCAUGGGUCAAUCUUUUAAGGUGGCUUCCGCUACCAGUUUCAGAUGGACCCGCGACGCAUUAGCUGAUUGGUGAGGUAACAAGGCAACGAUGCGUAGCCGACCUGAGAGGGUGAUCGGCCACACUGGGACUGAGACACGGCCCACACUCCUACGGGAGGCAGCAGUAGGGAAUCUUCCGCAAUGGACGAAAGUCUGACGGAGCAACGCCGCGUGAGUGAUGAAGGUUUUCGGAUCGUAAAGCUCUGUUGUUAGGGAAGAACAAGUACCGUUCGAAUAGGGCGGUACCUUGACGGUACCUAACCAGAAAGCCACGGCUAACUACGUGCCAGCAGCCGCGGUAAUACGUAUGUGGCAAGCGUUGUCCGGAAUUAUUGGGCGUACAGGGCUCGCACGCGGUUUCUUAAGACUGAUGUGAAAGCCCCCGGCUCAACCGGGGAGGGUCAUUGGAAACUGGGGAAC